GUUAGGCAAUUCCUUCAUUUUGUUCUAUUCCAUGCCUCAUGUGUUCGAGUUCUGUCAAUGUUAGGUUCCCUUUGUUUUUGUGAUUGUCAAAUGUUUUGUUCUUUCUCUUUGUUCAUUUUUUUUUGGCUCAGGUGUUUGUUUUGUUUGGUGGUGUACAGCGUGCACGCUGGUUAUUCUGUUUUUCGCUCAGGCGUUUGUUUUGUUUGGUGGUGUUCAGUGUUUUUUCAAUUUUUUUUGGGUUUGUGUUACAUUUUCGUGACAUAGCAGAGGAAGAGACAGAACAGUGGCAGAGUCAGAGGCAGAGCAACCAAGGGCAAUUUCUUCUUCCAGGUGGAAUCAACAUUUGAAUUUGCACACGUUUGUAGGAAUCUGGAUUUCCACAACUUUGUCUUCUGGAUGAAAGAAAGCAACCCUGUAAUCGUAGUCCAGGCAUACUGUUUGCUUGUUGCAGAGAUGAAUGUCCUAGGAUGGGAUUAUCCAUUGCAUUUGGGAGUUACUGAAGCUGGUGAAGGUGAAGAUAGGUGAAUGAAAUCUGCAAUUGGCAUUGGAACACUGUUACAGAUGGUUUGGGUGAUACAAUUCGGGUUUCCCUUACAGAACCUCCAGAAGAGGAGAUAGAUACAUGCAGAAGACUUGCAAAAUUUGGGAUGCAAGCUGCCAAGCUUGAGAAAGGAGUGGCUCCUUUUGAGGAGAAGCACCACCACUAUUUUAAUUUCCAGCGGAGAACCAGUCAACCUCCCAUACAGAAGGAGGGUGGCAGAUUGCAAGCUCACAACCCUUCUUGUUCCAGCCAAAAAAGCUGCAGUUUAAUAAGAAGUAUACUAAGCAACUUUUUGAACUA